GGAUGCGAUCAUACCAGCACUAAAGCACCGGAUCCCAUCAGAACUCCGAAGUUAAGCGUGCUUAGGCUAGAGUAGUACUAGGAUGGGUGACCUCCUGGGAAGUCCUUGUCUUGCAUUCC
rnacentral:rRNA from 1 species